UGAGGAAUUGCUGGGUCUUAUGGUAACUGUUUAACUUUUUAAGGAACCACCAGACUAUUUUCCAAAGUGAUUACACCAUUUUACAUUCCCAACAAGCAAU
rnacentral:pre_miRNA from 1 species